GUGUACACUAACGUUAGCCUUUUGGCUAAAUGCUAAUUUCUAACGUGAGCAUGUUUAUUUUCCUUUAAACGCCUGCAUAGAGCUAAAAUAUAAUAUUUUACCACAACAACUAAGGUCAAAAUCUCAAUUUUUCAUAGAUUACAAAGAACACAAGAGUGUGCUCGAAACAUUUCUCUCCGGAAUGUUUUUCAAGAACACUGACUGGAAUCAGGAAGCUAAAGGGAGGUUCAGUUCCCUCCGUGUUUACCUGGACUCAACAGCCAAACGAAAGGAAAACCUUGCGAUCACAAGAAAAAUGGCAUUUAGAGGAAGAACAUGAGGAAGAUGAAAGUUCUACAAAGGAUGGACCAAGCAAUGAAGAAUGGUUAGUAGAAAUAUAUCAUACAAAAUGUGUACCAUAUUUUCUGCACUAUAAGGCGCACUUAAAAGCCU